rnacentral:rRNA from 1 species
GAUGAACGCUGGCGGCGUGCCUAAUACAUGCAAGUCGAGCGAACGGACGAGAAGCUUGCUUCUCUGAUGUUAGCGGCGGACGGGUGAGUAACACGUGGAUAACCUACCUAUAAGACUGGGAUAACUUCGGGAAACCGGAGCUAAUACCGGAUGAUAUUUUGAACCGCAUGGUUCAAAAGUGAAAGACGGUCUUGCUGUCACUUAUAGAUGGAUCCGCGCUGCAUUAGCUAGUUGGUAAGGUAACGGCUUACCAAGGCAACGAUCCAUAGCCGACCUGAGAGGGUGAUCGGCCACACUGGAACUGGGACACGGUCCAGACUCCUACGGGAGGCAGCAGUAGGGAAUCUUCCGCAAUGGGCGAAAGCCUGACGGAGCAACGCCGCGUGAGUGAUGAAGGUCUUCGGAUCGUAAAACUCUGUUAUUAGGGAAGAACAUAUGUGUAAGUAACUGUGCACAUCUUGACGGUACCUAAUCAGAAAGCCACGGCUAACUACGUG